UUUAAACAUUAUGGUUAACGAUGGGAAAAAAACCUACAUCAAAUCUGACGAGAUUUAUUCAUCUGUUCAUGAAAUAAAGAACUUUGUCAUCGAAGCACUUUUGUCAAAAAACGUAAAACAUUAUUGAAAAUGACCUCAUUUUCUGAGGGAGGAGCCUGAAAGACGAAGUAUUAAAUAAAUAGUUGUCAUGGUGACGUGACAUCAUCUUCACACCAUUUAAUAUUUAAUAUAUCUAUAUAUAUAUGUGUCCCGGAGCUCAGCGGGGGGCUUAUUGAUUAAGACUGACGUAUCCAUUCAUGCUUCAUAGUCACACGCCAUGUGGGAGGAACACACUAUUUCACCCAAGGAUGCUGAGUGGACAUUUGUUCUACUAUUACACUUUUUGCAUUAACUUUAUUUAGUUAUUACUAUUAUUUUAUUCAUUCAAAGUAAAAAAUGACCAUAAUGGAAGUUGUUAAUCUAUAAAUGAGAACAGGAAGAAGCAGCAGAGAAUUAACUUUUGAGCAUUUGCAUUUAUUUUGGAACAAAUGUGAUGCGUCAUAAAGCGGAACGUUCAUUGCAGACGGGGGGAUGAAUGCAUAUCGCAUACAAAAUAUGUACUCAUUGAUUUAGUUAAUAUUGAACGCUGCACAUUAACACGCAAUAACAUCUGGAUCAAAAGAAGCUUCCUUUUCUGAAACACUAUCACGGAGAAGGAAUCGUCUUUGUCGGGGACUCAUGAUCCGACCGCCCACCUGCUGUGAAACAUGGACCACCUUGUGAUUGACAGGUCAACUGUAACUCACAGCGAUUGCUCGACAUCCGCGGUUGGUGCUGGCAACCAAGCAGCCUUCUGUGGUUGCCAUGGGAACCUGGAACUGCUUCCCAUCCAGAUGCAGGGGCCCAGCCACACCUACUGGUACGGGAAUGUAGCCAAUCACAUUCUCACAGCAGGUGCCCAUAACCUGGAAACCAGAAAUGAUGUCAAACAGGAAGCAGGGUGUGUGUGUGUGUGUGUGUGCGUGUGUGUUUCCUCACCUUGGAGUAAUCGUAGUCAGCGUACGGCAGGCUGGACAGCGCGGAGGGGGAGGGCAGCUUGGCGGCGAUCAUCUGUCUACGUAUGGCCACGCCCCUCUCUGCUUUCUCCAUCAUGGCCUCCAGUUUGUACGCCGGGAUGUGCUUGGAGUUCACCAGCUGCACCACCUCAGCGUCACUCAGGAAACGGGCCCCCAGCUGCAACAGCCAGGCAAACAUGUCCCGUUAUCACGUCAACAGUUUGUGUCCUGUGGAGCUGUAAUCAGAAGGGCCGUCCCAGGGGUGACUAAGCUCAUUAGGGCGCCGCUAAAUCACACAACUGCCUCCAGGCGGCAAUCGCAUUAGUGGACAGGACAGCUAAGUGCGGGCGAUGAUGUCACCCUCAGGUUAGCCGACUUAUCGGCCUCACCUCGGGGUUGUUGAUGAUGGCCACACACGCGUCCAGGUCUCUGGGCCCCGGCAGGACGCUCGGCUGCUCCUCCUCAGCCUCCCGCUCCUCGUCCCCCUCCACGAAGAAGCUCUUUGGCUGUGGCCCCGCGGCCGGGGCGGACAGGGGGCGGAUGACCUCAUCUGGGGGGACAAGGCAGAGCUGGAGAGCACACUUCCACACAAGCCCUUCUGCCACGGCGCCGGCGCCCGACGCACCUCUCUCUGACUCGAUGGUGGGCGCCGGGGCGGGGGAGAGGGCCCGGGGGGGACACGCCUCCUUCCUGCAGCAGGUGUCGGCGGGCCGCCGCGGGGUCAGGGGCGGGGCGGACAUGGUGAUGGGGUUCUUCAGCGACAGAGUGGACUCCAUCUCGGCCUGCUCGAAGAAGAUGUACUUGAUAGCCAGCAGCAGGGCCAGGGCGAGGCAGACCACCUGCUCCACGUCCAUGGUGAUCAUCCUG
ensembl:lncRNA